rnacentral:lncRNA from 1 species
GGGGCCCAAGCUCUCCGCACGUGGGACCGUGAGCCCUCAGCCCCCGGACUCCCACUCCCAGAAUCCCCCGCUGGGCCACGCCCCCUUCACGCUGCCGGACUCCACUUCCCAGAGGGCUUAGCGGCAACGCCGCUUCCGGGACGCCGUCCGCUCAGAAAGCCUCAAAGCUGGCUGGAGACGCCGCCGGGGUAGCGCGCGCAGAUCCCGGGUGUGGGGCCGGGGCUCAGUUCUGUGCUUUUCUGUGUUGAAGCCUGGAUCUCAGAGCUGAUGAAGGACAGUGUCCAGGGACUCAGGUCCACUUUUUAAGGGCCAUGAUUCCACUUUGCUGCCCAAGACAAGGAGAAAAAUAAAUGAGCAGUUUUUCAGAGGUUGAUGUCCCCCUUUUUGCAGACAUUGCCAUCCUACAAUGAAACUUACACAAUUGCUGCAAGACUCCUACAAAU